UACAAACAAUGAGAAAUCAAUUAUUUAGGUGUUUUUUUUUUGUUCAUGUUGAUAUUCAGGAAAACGUCCGGCUCUUGGGUGUUCUAAAAUCACCCUCAGGUUUUACAGGUAGUUUUGGCAGGUGUUUAAUUCCUUAAUAAUUUAAGUUAUACAUUCAAAAGACAUAAGGAAGUUAUUACCAACUUCUCACUCUGCAUUACAGCUUUGUAUUAACAUUGCUUUAAUGUGUUAUUGUGUACAGCUGUGGAUGUUAAGGGUCCAGUUAAUUAUAAACAAAAUAAUUUACUGUUUGGUAGUUUAAGAAAUUGUCAUGUAGCAUCACUAGUCUUUCCUGUGACAUGCAUUUUAUUUUUGUUUUGUCAUAAUUCAUUUUCCAGCUGAAGACAAUUUUUUUUAAAAGAGUUCUGGUUUAAGAAGUCAUCCCUCAAAAUAAAGACUUGUUCAGUUUAUCACAAAUGUUAACAUUAAACCGUCAUUUUGGGGGUACAAGGUUUCCACUGAGCGUGAAGGUUUUGAAAUAUGUAUGUAACCAGCAUAUAAAUAGGUUUAAUAGUAGAGGAGAAAUUGCAGUAUGUUCCUCUGAGUUACAGUGACAUAGACAAAAUUGAAGUUGCAUAAAAUCCUCAAAUUUCUACUUUAGCAAUUGUCCUGUAAAGAGAAGGUGUUUUAUUUUGCAUGGCACACUGCUGCCAUCUGCUGGACAUUUAAGGAAAUGCUUUGCUUACAUGCUAGUACGUUUUGUUUGCUAGCAGUAGAGCAGAUGAAAAGACGUGUCUGUUACGAACGCCGAAUUCCAGGUGAAGUUCUUCGACGCAAUGCCUUUUCCCUCCAUUCUACGUGGAAAUAAAGCAAGAACUAAGUAAUCCUGACUCGUGUGAAAGGAGUUUGACUGAUGAAUGAGGCAGAGAUGGGCUGUGACAGAGAGAGUUACAAAAUUAUCCAGCCAGGCUUUGAUAAUGAUGUUGUUCCACCAGACUGAGAGAGUCCAGCAUCAUCCACUCUGCUGGUAAGCAGUCAGCACAGUGGACUUCCUGAAGAUGACUCAGCUGUGACCAAUCAUCUGUCUGACCGUCCAUGCUGCUCUAUAGAACUGAGAGAACUACUUCAGGUGAAAAACUGCGCCCGUCUCCAUUUCUUGGAAAGAAAUGAAGACGAGCGCAGAUUUAGUUCCAGUUAUUAUUUCAUUCAAAUGAAAAAUGGAGAACAAAUAAGCAGAUCAUGGCUUGCCUACUAGAAAAAGGGAUAAAAAGACAGAGAGGCAAACAACAAGAACAGAGGGACAAAAGGUAGAAAAAAUAUGUCUAUUCUAAUAAAAUUUCUCUAUCUGUAUAAUGGGUCUGUUUUAUGCGUUGUCUUCACAAUU